UGCUGGAAACUCUGGGUCCAAUUUAUAUUGGAUAAAAAAGUAUUGAUUAGUACGAGCACUCGUCGAAGUUGCCGUGACAAUCUAAUCAAGCAGACAAUCAGCA
rnacentral:autocatalytically_spliced_intron from 1 species